rnacentral:rRNA from 1 species
UCCAGACUCCUACGGGAGGCAGCAGUGGGGAAUAUUGCGCAAUGGGCGAAAGCCUGACGCAGCGACGCCGCGUGAGGGAUGAAGGUCUUCGGAUCGUAAACCUCUGUCAGCAGGGAAGAACGGUCACUGUGCUAAUCAGCAGUGAAUUGACGGUACCUGCAAAGGAAGCACCGGCUAACUCCGUGCCAGCAGCCGCGGUAAUACGGAGGGUGCGAGCGUUAUCCGGAUUCAUUGGGCGUAAAGCGCGCGUAGGCGGCCGCCUAAGCGGAACCUCUAACCCCGGGGCUCAACCUCGGGCCGGGUUCCGGACUGGGCGGCUCGAGUGCGGUAGAGGAGAGCGGAAUUCCCGGUGUAGCGGUGGAAUGCGCAGAUAUCGGGAAGAACACCGAUGGCGAAGGCAGCUCUCUGGGCCGUCACUGACGCUGAGGCGCGAAAGCUGGGGGAGCGAACAGGAUUAGAUACCCCGGUA